ACGACGAAAUAUCGGGAAUUUUUGAAACUAGAGUCCCCCAGGAAAUUAAGCCAAUGAUCGACUGUCCCUGCCCAUUCUAACGGGGCAUUCUAUUCCUUCAAGUCCCACAGCUCUAAAUGUGCCUAUUCCUUCGACACCUUUCCAUGGAAACAGGGGAAAAAUGGCUUAUUCCGCAUCAACCUAAGCCCGCUUAUUCCGACUAAGUGAUCCAUUGGCGAAAAGAGGGCCUUCCUCCUUCUUGCUUGAAGCUCUGUCAAAGAAGCAUUCUAUUCCGAAAAGGCUUUCACAUUUCCAUGGAAAGAGGGGGAAAAUGACUUAUUCCGCAUCAACCUAAGCCCGCUUAUUCCGACUAAGUGAUCCAUUGGCGAAAAGAGGGCCUUCCUCCUUCUUGCUUGAAGCUCUGUCAAAGAAGCAUUCUAUUCCGAAAAGGCUUAGGGCUAGGCUAAACCUCCCUCAAAGCCAUGAAGUCCCAGAGCUCUUAUUCCAAGAACUGGUGAGAUUCCCUUAACUGCAGAUUCAAUAGCACCGGUUAUGAACCCCAAAAACAACAGGAAAGAGAGCACCGUC
rnacentral:lncRNA from 1 species